GCUGUGAUGAAAAAAGGUGGCAUUGAUCAAUUAUGAACUGAUGAUGCCUCUUUUCUCCUCUAAGAAGUUCUGAGCUU